rnacentral:rRNA from 1 species
CCUACGGGUGGCUGCAGUGGGGAAUAUUGGACAAUGGGGGAAACCCUGAUCCAGCGACGCCGCGUGAGUGAAGAAGUAUUUCGGUAUGUAAAGCUCUAUCAGCAGGGAAGAAAAUGACGGUACCUGACUAAGAAGCCCCGGCUAACUACGUGCCAGCAGCCGCGGUAAUACGUAGGGGGCAAGCGUUAUCCGGAUUUACUGGGUGUAAAGGGAGCGCAGACGGCAAUGCAAGUCUGAAGUGAAAGGCGUGGGCUCAACCCAUGAAUUGCUUUGGAAACUGUUUGGCUUGAGUGUCGGAGGGGUAAGCGGAAUUCCUAGUGUAGCGGUGAAAUGCGUAGAUAUUAGGAGGAACACCGGAGGCGAAGGCGGCUUGCUGUAGCGUAACUGACGCUGAAGCUCGAA